rnacentral:lncRNA from 1 species
AUAUGUUUCUGUCACCACACACUUAGACCGAAGUAAGUCCUGAAGCAGGAAAUCAGUGAGCUUCACAGCUUUCUGAGCCCGUACGCAAUCCAGGAAGUCCAGAUGGCCCCUCCUUUCAGUGUCAUCAAUCAGAGCUUAACUAGGGCAAGAUACUUGAAGUCUAACUCACCAAGAGGAUGAAGUUUCAUCAUUCCAUCUGACGAACAAGUGAGAACUAGCCAAGUGCUGGCCAAAGGUGAGUCAAAUCUAGAAUGACUAAUAAAGGAAGAAGAUGAUAAAUAUCAGUUUUGGUUCUGAGACCACCUGCAGUAACAAGGACUCCAUCUUGUUUGCUAACAUUUUUUGUGUCUCUGGAGGAGACUGAAAUUGACAACUACUUUGAAGAACUGAAAUUGUUCCUUCUUUUCUGAGAAGGAAGCAAUGGCCUCUUUUUCUAAUAACAGCUUUGUGUACCAUAUAAAGGCAUAAGUGCUAUUUAAUUGCUAUGAAGGGUAAACUAAUAAAGAUUCAGUUCAUGUACCA